rnacentral:rRNA from 1 species
AUUGAACGCUGGCGGCAGGCCUAACACAUGCAAGUCGAGCGGAGCGGCGGACGGGUGAGUAAUGCCUAGGAAUCUGCCUGGUAGUGGGGGAUAACGUCCGGAAACGGGCGCUAAUACCGCAUAAUAUAAGAUGAGCCUAGGUCGGAUUAGAUAGUUGGUGGGGUAAAGGCCUACAAAGGCGACGAUCCGUAACUGGUCUGUGAGGAUGAUCAGUCAGUCUGUAACGGAGACAUGGUCCAGAGUCCUACGGGAGGCAGAAGUGGGGAAUAUUGGACAAGGGGCGAAAGCCUGAUCCAGCCAUGCCGCGUGUGUGAAGAAGGUCUUCGGAUUGUAAAGCACUUUAAGUUGGGAGGCGUUACCAACAGAAUAAGCACCGGAUAACUCCGUGCCAGCAGCCGCGGUAAUUC